CCGGACGGCGACCGGCGCACGGGUGAGUAACACGUAUGCGACCUGCCCGUAGCAGGGGGAUAAGCGGAAGAAAUUCCGUCUAAUACCGCGUAAUAUCUUUCGGGGACAUUCCUGAGGGAUUAAAGGAAGCGAUUCCGGCUACGGAUGGGCAUGCGGCGCAUUAGCUAGUCGGCGGGGUAACGGCCCACCGAGGCGACGAUGCGUAGGGGUUCUGAGAGGAAGGUCCCCCACACUGGUACUGAGACACGGACCAGACUCCUACGGGAGGCAGCAG
rnacentral:rRNA from 1 species